UUAAGGACUUGGAUAGGUUAGGUGUUAAAUAAUAUGUUUGUAUAGUAAAAUAGUUCUAAGAAGGAUCGAAGUUCCACUCGAGACAAAGGGACUGGAACCAAAAUACCGUGCGUCGCCGAUCUUCCGGACGGAUCCUCGGUAUCUAUAGGGGAGCAUGUUGUUGCGAAGUUUCACUUCGAAAAGCACCUAUGUAAAUCAUUGGCAAUUCGGAUCGUCUGAACCGAAAGCAAACAUCCGUAAACAUCGAGUAAAUCAUCGAUCGAACGAUUGGUGGAUCGUUAAGAGUUAAGGCGAAGAGUAUCGAUGGAUCCGCUGAUCGAUAGGAGGAUUUCAUGGGCGAACCAUUCGACACGCGCCUUCGAACGCGUUCCGCGUGUGCACACCAUAAACCGGUCCAAUGAUUUACGGGACAGCGGAUUUAGACCGGUGGCAGCGUUCGUUCGCCGUGAUCCAACCAACGAUACGGUGUUCUUUAAAUAAAACGGCACGAGGCUUUUGGGAUCAGCUGCCAUGGGUAUCGAGCCUGUAUGCUGCUCGGAUAUCGGUAUUUGCGGUUCUUGCUCACGUUCUGGUGACAUACGGUUAGACCUGUUUCGACCCAACGUUAUGUGACUACUGCUCGUUGUUGCUGAUGGCUACUCCUCAUUUCUAAUGCCUCUUUUUUUAAUUUCCAGAACGAAUCAGUUGGUUCCAGGAUAUCCCACUGCGUGUACUCUCCUUCUUGGACGAGGUAUGAGCAAUCAUCAGUAUCCCAGGAAGGACACAGUCUUCGUGUCCGCGUUUACGGAUCAUCGUUGACCGAUCUUAUUGCCGUCAUUAUUUUCAAAGAAAUCGACGCUAGAGAAACAAGGCUUUAUUGCUCGACGUCUUACAGGAUGUCUUUAUUGUAUCGCUCCAGGUGGGAAGCUACGUCGGAUGAAACCGGCUCUCAAAGUGAUUCCAGAUUGAUCCUGAGAUAUGCUUUUUUGGGUGUGGCGGAUUUUGACACUGUACGAUCAACGAUUCGCGAGACGAUUUCGUUCGAUGAAAUGUCAGCUCGCUGGGAACUGCGUUGACAUUGGCAAUUUUAUAUUUCAAAAUUGAUAUAUGUAGGGGAAAGGGGGGCGAAAGUAUUAUUGUAGAUAACUCAAAAUCUAUUACAGCUAUUAUCGCAAAGGGACAUACAAUGCGGAAUUACAAUUAAAGUACACACAAAUAUGUUCUAACGAUACACACUCGAUUUGAAAUAUUAAUUAUUUUAAUUUCUAAAAUUAUUUUUUACGAAUUUAAAAGUUGUAGAUAGGCAAUUAAUAUUAAUUAAUUCAAAUUAAAUUAAUUAAGAAUUAAUUAAAAAAUGAAUAUGCCUUGAAGAUAAAUACGCAAUUGUGAUUAAAAAAGAACUGU